UACGGAGGGAGCUAGCGUUGUUCGGAAUUACUGGGCGUAAAGCGCGCGUAGGCGGCUUUGUUAGUUAGAGGUGAAAGCCCGGAGCUCAACUCCGGAACUGCCUUUAAAACUGCAUCGCUUGAAUCCAGGAGAGGUGAGUGGAAUUCCGAGUGUAGAGGUGAAAUUCGUAGAUAUUCGGAAGAACACCAGUGGCGAAGGCGGCUCACUGGACUGGUAUUGACGCUGAGGUGCGAAAGCGUGGGGAGCAAACAGG
rnacentral:rRNA from 1 species